UUUUUUUUUUUAUCAUGAAUGGAGGUUGAAUUUUUUCAAAUGCUUUUUCUUCAUGUAUUGAGAUGAUCAAGUGCUUUUGUCUUUUGAUAUAGUGCAUCAACCUGAUUGGUUUGAUCAAUAAAUGAUCCUUGUAAUCCUGGUUUAAAACUGUCUUUUUUUUUUUUUUUUUUUUUUUUUUUGUCUUUUUAGGGCUGCACCUGUAGCAUAUGGAGAUUUGAGGCUAGGGGUCUAAUCAGAGCUAUAGCCACUGGCCUAUGACACAGCUGCAGCAACUCAGGAUCUGAGCUACUUCUGUGACUUACACCACAGCCCACAGCAAGGCGGGAUCCUUAACUCACUGAGCGAGGCCAGGAUCGAACCCACAUCCUCAUGGAUACUAGUCAGAUUAGUCUCUGCUGAGCCAUGAUGGGAACUCCUUUUUUUGAGACCAUCUUGAUCAUAGCGCAUGAUCCUUUUUAUGUGCUGCUGUAUUCAGUUUGCUAAUAUUUUAUUGAAGAUUUUUGCAUCUAUAUUCAUCAAAGAUAGUUGCCUGUAACAUUUUUUGGGAGGGAGGUUAAUGUCUAGUUUUAGUAUUGGGCGAUGGUGCCUUCACAGAAUGACUUUUGGGAGUGAUCCUCCUCUUCAGUCUUUUGGGAUAAUUUAAGAACCAUAAGAAUAUGUUCUUUAUAUAUUUGGUAGAAUUCCCCAGUGAAACUGUCAAUUCCUGGACUUUUGUUUGGAGGUAGUUUUUUACUGCAGAUUGUUUCACUUCUCGUGAUUAGUGUCUUCAGUAGUCUGUUUUUUAUUUAUUCAUUUUUGGUAGGCUGUAUGUUUCUUGAAACUUGUUCGUUUAUUUUAGGUUGUCCAGUUUGUUGUUGUAUGACUAUUCAUAGUGCUCCCAUAUUUAUUUGUAUUUCUGUGAUAUUGGAUUACUUAUCCUGUUUCAUGUCUUAUUUUGUUUAUUUAAGUCUUCUCUUUUUUCUUCUUGAUGAGUGUUAUGGGGUUUGUUGGUUUUUUUCUUUUCAAAAAAAAUUCUUGGUUUUAUUGAUUUUUUAAUUGUUUUUUCUGAUUUCUAUUUUAUUUCUUCUCAAACAUUUAUUUAAUUUUUUCUCCUGACUUUGUGUUUUGUUUGUUCUUUAUCUAAUUAUUUUAUGUUGUAGAUUAGGUUGUCUAUUUGAGAUUUUUUUUAUUUCUCGAGGAAGGCCUAUUAUCACUAUCAACUUCCCUUUUAGAACUGCUUUGCUACAUCCCAUAAAUUUGGGAAGUUGUCUUUUUAUUUUUGUUUGUCUUGAGGUAUUUUCUGAUUUCUUCUUUGAUUUCAUUUGACCUACUGGUUUUUUAGUAGCAUGUUGUUAGAGCUCCAUGUGUUUUUUCUUUUUGGGGUUGAUUUCUAGUUUCAUAGUGAUGUGUUCAGAAAUGAUUCUUGAAAUGAUUUCUGUCUUAGUAUGUUGAGGCUUGUUUUGUUACCUGGUAUGUGGUCUAUCAUAGAGAACAUUCCAUGCACACUUUAAAAUAAUGUAUAUUCUGGUUUUUUUUGUUUGUUUGGUUGGUUUUUUUUUUUUUUUUGGAUAUGGUGUCUUAUAGAUAUCAAUAAAGUCCAAAUGGUCUAUUGUGUCAUGUAAGACGUCUGUUGCCCUAUUGAUUUUCUAUAUGAGUGAACUUUCCAUUGAUGCCAUUGAGAUUUUAAAGUUUCUUACUAUUUUUGUAUUCAUGUAAAUUUCUCCCUUUUUUGUCUGUUAGUAUUUGUUUGAUAUAUUUAGGUGUUCCAAUACUGGGAAUAUAUAUGUUAAUGGGUGUAAUUACUUUUCUUUUAUCAAUCCCUUUAUCAUCAUACAACAUUAUGCUUAGGUGUUUUGUUUGUUUGUUUGUUACUUUUCUUUUCUUUUCUGGCUGUGCCUGAAACAGUGGAAGGUCCCUGGCCAGGGACUGAAUGUGCAAUAUAGCAGCAAUCCAAGCCACUGCAUACUGCAGUGACCUGCUGCACCGCAAGAGAACUCCUUUCUCUGUCUGUCUUUAUGUCCUCAUUUUUUUAAGUCUAUUUUGUUUGAUAUGGUGUUUUUACCCUCCCCUUUCUUUUCAUUUCCAUUUGCAUGAAUUAUCUUUUUUUGUUAUCUCACUUGCAAUCUGUAUGUUUUUCACCCUGAAAUGAAUCUAUGGUAGACAGCAUAUGGUAAGUUCUUAUUUUUUUAAUACAAUCUGCAACUCUGUCUUAUGAUCAGAGGAGCAUUUUUUCUAGUGAUGUUUAAAGUAAUUAUUGAUAUGCAUGUACUCACUGCUGCUUUAAAGCUUUUUUUUUCCCAGUAUUUUUUAGUAGUUCUUCUUUGCUCAUUUCUUCUUUUUGUUUCUCCUGUAGUUCAAUGAUUUUGUUUUGUAUUAUGCUUCAGUUCCUUUUUUGUGUUUAUGAAUCUAUUGUAUCUUUUUGAUUUAUGAUUACCCAGAUUUAUAAGUAUGUUGACCAAUAAUGCUAUUGAGUUUUUUUAAACUGAUAAUUGUACAAGUUCAAAUACAUUCUAAAGGAUCUACAUUUUUAUACUUCCCUCCCCCACAUUUUGUGAUUUCAGUGUCCAAUUUUUUAUAUUUCCAUUUUACAUUUUCAGCUUAUCUUUUUGCUGUUAAUUGUAUUUAUAAUAGCUUUUACAAUAUUUUUUGUUUAUAGGGAUGCACCCAUGGAAUAUGGAGGUUCCCAGACUAGGGGUCAAGCCAGAGCUGUAGCCACCAGCCUAUAGCACAGCCACAACAAUGCCAGAUCCAAGCAUAUCUGAUCUACACCACAGCUCACAGCAAUGCCGGAUCCUUAAACCACUGUGAGAGGCCAGGGAUUGAACGUACAUCCUCAUGGAUAUUAGUAGAGCUCAUUAACCACUGAGCCAUGACAGGAACUCCUUUUACAAAUUUUUUGGUUUUUUUUAGGCGAUGUACUAGUUUAUGUAAAUGGAUUUAAAUCCUUUUAUAUGUUUGCCUUUCUUAUUGUGAUUUUCCCUUUCUUAUAAUUCUUGCUUCUUUUCUAUUUAAAGAAGAUCUUUCAAUAUUUCCUUUAUAUUAGGUUUAGUAUUGUUUAAUUCUUAUAGUUUUGCUUUUCUCAGAAAUUAUUUAUCUCUCCUUCUAUUCUAAAUGACAUUCUUGUUGGGUUGAGCAUCCUAGGUUGCAGGUUUUUCCCUUUCAAAACUUAGAUAUAUCAUAAUCCUCCCUUCUCACCUGAAAAGUUUCUAUAGAGAAAUCCACUGAUAGCCUUCUGGGGGUUUCCUUGUAACUGUUUUUCUCUUGCUGCCUUAAUAGCCUUGAUUUUAUUGUUGUUGCUUUUUGGAUUUAUUUUCUUUAGGACCCUCUAUGCUUCCUAUAUUUGGGUAUCUGUAUUCCUCUUUAGGUUUGGUAAGUUUUCAGUCAAAAUUUUUCAAAUACUUUUUUUAAUACCCCCUCUCUCUUCUCUUUCUGGAGCCCCUAUUAUGUGUAGAUUGGCAUAUUUUAUGUUAUCCCAUCAAUCUUGUGUGUUGCUUGUUUGCUUUUUUUCUUUCAUCUUUCUGUCUGCUGUUCUGAUUGGGUGAUUUCCAUUAUUCUAACAUCCCGAUCACUUACUCAUUCUUGUGCAUUAUUUAGUUUUUCAUUCAUUGCUUCUAGAUUGAUUUUUUUAACUUGAAUAAGUAAUUAGACAAUUAGAAUUGUCUGAUUUUAAUUGGUUUCUAGUGCCUUUUUAUAGUGAUUUGCAUUUCUAUUGAUUAUCAUUCUUAAUUCCUUUAGAAUUUUUAUUACCUCCUUUUUGAACUCCAUGUCUAGUAGGUUGGUGAGGUAUGUUUCAUUAGUCAUUCUUUCAGGGGAUUUCUCUUAUUUUUUCAUUAGGAAUAUCUCCUUUGCUUUCUCAUGUACUUAACUUUCUCUGUGUCUAUGAAUUUUUGUAGAAACGGUGGUCUUGAAAGGCUGUUUUCACAUGGGAGCAUUGCUUGUGGACUAUGUGAAUCCAAUUUCUGUAUGUGUGUGGUGGGGGGGGUGCUGCUUUUGGCACCAAUGACAGAUAUGUCUUUCCUCAGCAUGUCCUGGCUAUUGUCCUCUUUACUGUGGGUGUGAUUGUGUUUUGGUGCCCAGAGCCUGCACUGGAUGUAGGGCAUGGGCUCCUCUUCAUUCACUGGUUUCCUCUGUCCUAUCAGGGGCAGUGUCUGCUUCCCAGUUUUUGGAGUAGAAGCCCUGAUGGUCAGGUUUAAUUUAGGCUCAAUUGCCCCUGAGUGCAUUCCCUGUUCCAAAGGGGAUGAUUGCUAAAGCAAGUGAAGCCCAUGUGGCCACAGUGAACCUAUACUCUGCCUAUGCAUAUGUCUACAGUUCUUCCCAGAAACAGCCCAAUGUCGUGUUCCUUUCUUCACUCCAUUUUUCUCAGACCUGAGGCUAGGCUGUUGUGUGAAGUAGGUUGGAUUGAGGGCCUGGGUGCUAUGGUUGUAGGAAUUGAAGUAUCUCCACUGCUACCUGAAAUCUAGGCUGCCUCUGAUCUAUCUCAAGAUGCAGUGUGGGCUGGGUGGAGCCAGUGUGCUCCUUCUGGGAUAGAAACCACAUGAAUACUCUUGCCUAGGGCCUGACCUAGCUUCUGAGUGUUGCUUUGGUGCCACACAGUGUGUAUAACAACAGUGGACUCUGCAACCAAUGCCUGCACCACCUUUCACAAAAUGAUGGUGUAUUCCAGGGUUCCCUCUGGACUGGCCCCCAGGAAGUCACCAGUGCAAGUCUCUCCAUGCCCUGAUUAUUAGCAAGCCAACAUCUCUACAGUCCUUGCAAUAGGUAUCUAUGCUAAUCUACCCCUUCUAUCCGUCCCUAUGGAUUUCCAAGUAGUCAAGGGGGCUUUUCAGAAUAAGAGUUUACCACUAUGUACCUUCUUUUCUUAACAGACUCCUCCCAGGAGUGCCAGUGCCAUUCUAAUGUACUCCCCUCCCCAUCGCACACCACCAUGUGGAGAUCUUCCUUGAAGCUUUGGUUGUAUAGGAAAUCUUCUGGCAGUUUCCAGUUGGUUUUCUGUGAAAUUUCUUCUGCAUGUAGAUAUAUUUUUGAUGUGUUUGUGGGGAGGAGGUUCUCCUACUCUACCAUCUUAUCCCCCCCCCAAAAAAAGUUUUUAACAAAUGUGUAUUAAUCUCCCCAAAUUUAUUAACUUUUAUUAUCAGGAAACUCCUACAUCCUUAACAUUGAAAGCCAAUAUGUAUUUUCUUAAAUCUUUUCAGUUAAAAAUCAUUUAGGUGUGUCUGUGUUGCUCAGCAGUAAUGAACCCAACUAGUAUCCGUGAGGAUGUGGGUUAGAUUCCUGGCCCAGCUUAGUGGGUUAAGGAUCUGGCAUUGCCUUGAAAUGUGCACAUCACAGAUGAGGCUCAGAUCCCAUGUUGCUGUGGCUGUGGCUGUGAUGUAGGCCAGCAGUUGCAGCACCAAUUUGACCCCUAGCCUGAGAACUUCCAUAUGUCACAGGUGCAGCCCUAAAAAGAAAAAAAAAAA
ensembl:lncRNA